AAAGACAACAAAUGGCCAAACAAAUGGUCAAGCUGAAACCUGCUGCUGAAACUCAGCUACCAGAUGUUGCUAGAAUCAACAUCAAUAUGCAAGAAAGCACAUUUGCAAGUCCUGGCAGUGCUGAGAGUCACAAAGAUCCCCUUCUUGGCACAGAGUGACCUCCCAAACAUGCCAGGUGCUUCUUGUCCUACCAGACUUGCAGACCUCCAGGGGAACUCCAAGGACACUCAGGGAGUACAAAGGCCAUUCUUGCCUCAAAAUAUUUCAAAAAAGCAUGAAAGAUGGGAAAACAUGCUAUGGAUCGAGAUGAAAUUGUCUUGGGGUUGUACAGCUGGCCAGUGUUCAUCCUGAAGAUACAUCACAGGUAAGCCCAGUCCUGGUCCUGUGCCAUGAACACUACUGAAAUUUCUCUGCCAAAAAUGCACAUUUAAUGGUGCACUGUAAAGUCUGAACGUGGAGAAAUUGUACAAAAUGAAUCAGUAGGGUCUAUUCUUGGAAAAAAAUGAAGAAAAACUUAACCCUCUUGAAGACCUAGAUUAUUCAAAAUUAUACACAAAUCUCAGUAGUUAUAGAGGAAAGCAGAAAACUAUCAAAGCAUACUGGAAUUUGAGAUGCCAGAAAAGCUGUCUCCAUACACAUAGGAAUCUAUAAGAAAAUUUACAGUUCAGAUACCAUAACAAGUAUAGUGAAAUAAAAGCUAAUUUUUGUAGCCA
rnacentral:lncRNA from 1 species